ensembl:lncRNA
CAUUAAUACUUUUUUUUUUCAACUGAUUUAAGUGUUACAGGCCAAAAGAGAAAAAUAUUGUAUGAGCCAAUGUAACCUCGACCGGUUAAGCAAAAAAGGCAGGAAAGUCAUUGGCUAGCCUUGUUAGGUGCUGACUAAGACUGUAGAUGAGCCAUUAAGUGUUUGAAGUGUUACAGGCCAAAAUAGAAAAAAAUAGUACUUUUUUUUUUUUUUAACUGAUUUUGUUUAUCAACAUACAUGCCUAAAUACUUUUUUUUUUUAACUGAUUUAAGUGUUACAGGCCAAAAGAGAAAAAGAUUGUAUGAGCCAAUGUAACCUCGACCGGUUAAGCAAAAAGGCAGGAAAGUCAUUGGCUAGCCUUGUUAGGUACUGACUAAGACUGUAGAUGAGCCAUUAAGUGUUUGAAGUGUUACAGGCCAAAAUAGAAAAAAAUUGUACUUUUUUUUUUUUACUGAUUUUGUUCAUCAAUAUACAUGCAUAAAUACUUUUUUUAUUUUUUUUUUUAACUGAUUUUGUUUAUCAAUAUACAUGCAUAAAUACUUUUUUUUUUUUUUUUAACUGAUUUUGUUCAUCAAUAUACAUGCAUAAAUACUUUUUUUUUUUUUUUAACUGAUUUUGUUCAUCAAUAUACAUGCAUAAAUACUUUUUUUUUUUUUUUUUUAACUGAUUUUGUUUAUCAAUAUACAUGCAUAAAUACUUUUUUUUUUUUUUUUUUACUGAUUUUGUUCAUCAAUAUACAUGCAAUAAUACUUUUUUUUUUUUAACUGAUUUAAGUGUUACAGGCCAAAAGAGAAAAAGAUUGUAUGAGCAUAUUGGUAACCUCGACCGGUUAAGCAAAAAAGGCAGGAAAGUCAUUGGCGAGACUUGUUAGGUGCUGACUAAGACUGUAGAUGAGCCAUUAAGUGCUUGAAGUGUUACAGGCCAAAAGAAAAAAAUAAUGUAUGAGCAUAUUGGUAACCUCGACCGGUUAAGCAAAAAAGGCAGGAAAGUCAUUGGCUAGCCUUGUUAGGUGCUGACUAAGACUGUAGAUGAGCCAUUUAGUGUUUGAAGUGUUACAGGCCAAAAGAAAAAAAUAAUGUAUGAGCAUAUUGGUAACCUCGACCGGUUAAGCAAAAAAGGCAGGAAAGUCAUUGGCUAGCCUUGUUAGGUGCUGACUAAGACUGUAGAUGAGCCAUUUAGUGUUUGAAGUGUUACAGGCCAAAAUAGAAAAAAAUAGUAAGAGCAUAUUGGUAACCUCGACCGGUUAAGCAAAAAAGGCAGGAAAGUCAUUGGCUAGCCUUGUUAGGUGCUGACUAAGACUGUAGAUGAGCCAUUAAGUGUUUGAAGUGUUACAGGCCAAAAUAGAAAAGAAUAGUACCUUUUUUUUUUUUAACUGAUUUUGUUUAUCAAUAUACAUACAUAAAUACUUUUUUUUUUUUUUUGUUUUUUACUGAUUUAAGUGUUACAGGCCAAAAGAGAAAAAUAUUGUAUGAGCCAAUGUAACCUCGACCGGUUAAGCAAAAAAGGCAGGAAAGUCAUUGGCUAGCCUUGUUAGGUACUGACUAAGACUCUAGAUGAGCCAUUAAGUGUUUGAAGUGUUACAGGCCAAAAUAGAAAAAAAUAGUACUUUUUUUUUUUUUAACUGAUUUUGUUUAUCAACAUACAUGCCUAAAUACUUUUUUUUUUAACUGAUUUAAGUGUUACAGGCCAAAAGAGAAAAAGAUUGUAUGAGCCAAUGUAACCUCGACCGGUUAAGCAAAAAAGGCAGGAAAGUCAUUGGCUAGCCUUGUUAGGUACUGACUAAGACUGUAGAUGAGCCAUUAAGUGUUCGAAGUGUUACAGGCCAAAAUAGAAAAAAAUAGUACUUUUUUUUUUUAACUGAUUUUGUUUAUCAAUAUACAUGCAUGAAUACUUUUUUGUUAUUUUUUUAACUGAUUUAAGUGGUACAGGCCAAAAGAGAAAAAAUUUGUAUGAGGAUAUUGGUAACCUCGACCGGUUAAGCAAAAAAGGCAGGAAAGUCAUUGGCUAGCCUUGUUAGGUGCUGACUAAGACUGUAGAUGAGCCAUUAAGUGUUUGAAGUGUUACAGGCCAACUUUGACCGGUUAAGCAAAAAAGGCAGGAAAGUCAUUGGCUAGCCUUGUUAGGUGCUGACUAAGACUCUAGAUGAGCCAUUAAGUGUUUGAAGUGUUACAGGCCAAAAUAGAAAAAAAAAGUACUUUUUUUUUUUUUUUACUGAUUUUGUUUAUCAAUACACAUGCAUAAAUUCUUUUUUUUUUUUUUAACUGAUUUUGUUUAUCAAUAUACAUGCAUUAAUACUUUUUUUUUUUAACUGGCAGGAAAGGCAGGAAAGUCAUUGGCUAGCCUUGUUAGGUGCUGACUAAGACUGUAGAUGAGCCAUUUAGUGUUUGAAGUGUUACAGGCCAAAAUAGAAAAAAAUAGUAAGAGCAUAUUGGUAACCUCGACCGGUUAAGCAAAAAAGGCAGGAAAGUCAUUGGCUAGCCUUGUUAGGUGCUGACUAAGACUCUAGAUGAGCCAUUAAGUGUUUGAAGUGUUACAGGCCAAAAUAGAAAAAAAAAGUACUUUUUUUUUUUUUUACUGAUUUUGUUUAUCAAUAUACAUGCAUAAAUACUUUUUUUUUAACUGAUUUAAGUGUUACAGGCCAAAAGAGAAAAAGAUUGUAUGAGCAUAUUGGUAACCUCGACCGGUUAAGCAAAAAAGGCAGGAAAGUCAUUGGCUAGCCUUGUUAGGUACUGACUAAGACUGUAGAUGAGCCAUUAAGUGUUUGAAGUGUUACAGGCCAAAAUAGAAAAAAAUAGUACUUUUUUUUUUUUUAACUGAUUUUGUUUAUCAAUAUACAUGCAUAAAUACUUUUUUUUUUUUUUUUUACUGAUUUUGUUUAUCAAUAUACAUGCAUAAAUACUUUUUUUUUUUUUUUUUACUGAUUUUGUUUAUCAAUAUACAUGCAUAAAUACUUUUUUUUUUUAACUGAUUUAAGUGUUACAGGCCAAAAGAGAAAAAGAUUGUAUGAGCCAAUGUAACCUCGACCGGUUAAGCAAAAAAGGCAGGAAAGUCAUUGGCUAGCCUUGUUAGGUACUGACUAAGACUGUAUAUGAGCCAUUAAGUGUUUGAAGUGUUACAGGCCAAAAGAGAAAAAGAUUGUAUGAGCAUAUUGGUAACCUCGACCGGUUAAGCAAAAAAGGCAGGAAAGUCAUUGGCUAGCCUUGUUAGGUGCUGACUAAGACUGUAGAUGAAACAUUAAGUGUUUGAAGUGUUACAGGCCAAAAUAGAAAAAAAUAGUACUUUUUUUUUUUUUUUACUGAUUUUGUUUAUCAAUAUACAUGCAUAAAUACUUUUUUUUUUAACUGAUUUAAGUGUUACAGGCCAAAAGAGAAAAAGAUUGUAUGAGCCAAUGUAACCUCGACCGGUUAAGCAAAAAAGGCAGGAAAGUCAUUGGCUAGCCUUGUUAGGUACUGACUAAGACUGUAGAUGAGCCAUUAAGUGUUUGAAGUGUUACAGGCCAACUUUGAUCGGUUAAGCAAAAAAGGCAGGAAAGUCAUUGGCUAGCCUUGUUAGGUGCUGACUAAGACUGUAGAUGAGCCAUUAAGUGUUUGAAGUGUUACAGGCCAAAAUAGAAAAAAAAAGUACUUUUUUUUUUUUUUACUGAUUUUGUUUAUCAAUACACAUGCAUAAAUACUUUUUUUUUUACUGAUUUUGUUUAUCAAUAUACAUGCAUAAAUACUUUUUUUUUUCUUUUUUUAACUGAUUUAAGUGGUACAGGCCAAAAGAGAAAAAAUUUGCAUGAGCAUAUUGGUAACCUCGACCGGUUAAGCAAAAAAGGCAGGAAAGUCAUUGGCUAGCCUUGUUAGGUGCUGACUAAGACUGUAGAUGAGCCAUUAAGUGUUUGAAGUGUUACAGGCCAACUUUGACCGGUUAAGCAAAAAAGGCAGGAAAAUCAUUGGCUAGCCUUGUUAGGUGCUGACUAAGACUGUAGAUGAGCCAUUAAGUGUUUGAAGUGUUACAGGCCAAAAUAGAAAAAAAUAGUACUUUUUUUUUUUUAGCUAAUUUUGUUUAUCAAUAUACAUGCAUAAAUACUUUUUUUUUUUUUACUGAUUUUGUUUAUCAAUAUACAUGCAUAACUACUUUUUUUUUCUUUUUUUAACUGAUUUAAGUAGUACAGGCCAAAAGAGAAAAAAUUUGUAUGAGCAUAUUGGUAACCUCGACCGGUUAAGCAAAAAAGGCAGGAAAGUCAUUGGCUAGCCUUGUUAGGUGCUGACUAAGACUGUAGAUGAGCCAUUAAGUGUUUGAAGUGUUAAAGGCAUAGAAAAAAAUAGUAAGAGCAUAUUGGUAACUUUGACCGGUUAAGCAAAAAAGGCAGGAAAGUCAUUGGCUAGCCUUGUUAGGUGCUGACUAAGACUGUAGAUGAGCCAUUAAGUGUUUGAAGUGUUACAGGCCAAAAUAGAAAAAAACAGUACUUUUUUUUUUUUAACUGAUUUUGUUUAUCAAUAUACAUGCAUAAAUACUUUUUUUUUUUUUUUUUUUUUACUGAUUUUGUGUAUUAAUACACAUGCAUUAAUACUUUUUUUUUAACUGAUUUAGGUGUUACAGGCCAAAAGAGAAAAAGAUUGUAUGAGCCAAUGUAACCUCGACCGGUUAAGCAAAAAAGGCAGGAAAGUCAUUGGCUAGCCUUGUUAGGUGCUGACUAAGACUGUAGAUGAGCCAUUAAGUGUUUGAAGUGUUACAGGCCAAAAUAGAAAAAAAAAGUACUUUUUUUUUUUUUUUACUGAUUUUGUUUAUCAAUACACAUGCAUAAAUACUUUUUUUUUUCUUUUUUUAACUGAUUUAAGUGGUACAGGCCAAAAGAGAAAAAAUUUGUACGAGCAUAUUGGUAACCUCGACCGGUUAAGCAAAAAAGGCAGGAAAGUCAUUGGCUAGCCUUGUUAGGUGCUGACUAAGACUGUAGAUGAGCCAUUAAGUGUUUGAAGUGUUACAGGCCAAAAUAGAAAAAAAUAGUAAGAGCAUAUUGGUAAUUUUGACCAGUUAAGCAAAAAAGGCAGGAAAGUCAUUGGCUAGCCUUGUUAGGUGCUGACUAAGACUGUAGAUGAGCCAUUAAGUGUUUGAAGUGUUACAGGCCAAAAUAGAAAAAAAAAGUACUUUUUUUUUUUUUUUACUGAUUUUGUUUAUCAAUACACAUGCAUAAAUACUUUUUUUUUUAACUGAUUUUGUUUAUCAAUAUACAUGCAUAAAUACUUUUUUUUUUGUACUGAUUUUGUUCAUCAAUAUGUUAAUGUUUAGAUACAAUGUUUAGAUACAGGAUGAUAAGAUUUUUAAUGUUUAGAUACAUGAUAAGAUGUUUAAUGUUUAGAUACAUGAUGAGAUGUUUAAUGUUUAGAUAUAUGUAGUAUAUGAUGAUAAGAUGUUUAAUGUUUAGAUACAUGAUGAUAAGAUGUUUAAUGUUUAGAUACAUGAUAAGAUGUUUUAAUGUUUAGAUACAUGAUAAGAUGUUUAAUGUUGAGAUACGUGAUAAUAAGAUGUUUAAUGUUUAGGUACAUGAUGAUAAGAUGUUUUAAUGUUUAGAUACAUGAUAAGAUGUUUAAUGUUUAGAUACAUGAUAAGAUGUUUAAUGUUUAGAUACAUGAUGAU